rnacentral:rRNA from 1 species
CAGCAGCCGCCACGGGAAUACGGAGGGGGCUAGCGUUGUUCGGAAUUACUGGGCGUAAAGCGCACGUAGGCGGCUUGGUAAGUUAGAGGUGAAAGCCUGGAGCUCAACUCCAGAAUUGCCUUUAAGACUGCCGAGCUAGCAGGUGAGAGAGGUAAGUGGAAUUCCGAGUGUAGAGGUGAAAUUCGUAGAUAUUCGGAAGAACACCAGUGGCGAAGGCGGCUUACUGGCUCAUACUGGACGCUGAGGUGCGAAAGCGUGGGGAGCAAACAGGAUUAGAUACCCCCGUAGUCCCUGUCUCUUAUAC